GGAAAUGCUUUGUUUUUAUCUUCACAGAAAAACCCACCUCCAGAAGUCAAAGGACACUACAUGGGUAGAUACUUAAAGGAAAGACAUAGCUCUGCAGCAGGAGGCUCCUCUCACCUGGAUUUUACCUGGGCACCUAGCUCAGUAUGGAGUAAAAGGAAAGAAGGGAACCUGAUAUUGCAGGCACAAAGAACAGCUGCAUCCAUAUGAAAGCCCUUUAUAUCUACAUCCAAAUUCCACGGUGGCUGCUCAACAAAUGAAUAUGUAAACUAUGUAAGUCCUACUCAGCUCUGCAUCCUCAAGGCUGCCACCUUUUCCUGUAGUUCUUGAUUCAAUGGCUACACCACACUACCCUUUGUCCCUGAGGCUUGCUGGCUCACUCAUGAGCUAAUAUUUCUCCCUUCCUUCCCAGUCUAGAGAAUGAGCAUCAACCACAGCGCCAUCCCAGCACCUUCACUCAAGCACCUUUCACUGCUGAGAAACAACUCAUUAGCAGGUAAGGCAGGAGCUCUGAAGAUAUACUCUCUACAACUGCCCUACCUUACUUAA
rnacentral:lncRNA from 1 species